rnacentral:lncRNA from 1 species
ACUACACCAUCCGUCGGAACCAAAUCCCGUAACUGCGCUGAGCAGGUUGCACAUGAACAAGAGACAGGAGUCUACACAGGCGGGGCCUAGCUAUAACCUAGGAGGAGGUGAACUUGGUGACGGCCUUGGUGCCCUCGGAGACGGCGUGCUUGGCGAGCUCCCCGGGGAGGACGAGGCGGACCGAGGUCUGGAUCUCGCGGGAGGUGAUGGUGGGCUUCUUGUUGUACCGCGCGAGCUUGGCCGCCUCCGCCGCCAGCUUCUCGAAGAUGUCGUUGAUGAACGAGUUCAUGAUGGACAUGGCCUUGGAGGAGAUGCCGAUGUCGGGGUGCACCUGCUUCAGCACCUUGAAGAUGUAGAUCUUGUAGGUCUCCACGCUCUUCUUCGCCUUCUUCUUGCCCUUCUUCUCGCCGUCCUUGCCGGCGGACUUGCCGGCCGGCAGCCGCUUCUCGGCCUUGGGCUU